rnacentral:lncRNA from 1 species
GGGAGGCUAGGGAUAACAAGCUGGUAAUUAGUAAUAGGCUCUUUUCACCAAGGGAUUGGGUUAAGGGUAGACUAAGAAAGUUUGCAUGACAAUAUGAUAAAUAAGCUAAUUAAAUAAGAAGAGUAGAUAUAUGAGGGUGGAUAAGAUGAAAUUGUAAAUCCCAACAACUCCAUUCAUCCAUAGUUUCUUUAAGCCAAUUGAAUCACUGCAUUUGCA